rnacentral:lncRNA from 1 species
AUGCAAUGUGCUUGUGCAAAGUCCUCGUGCAAAAGGUCCUCGUGCAAACGAUCCUCGUGCAAAGCGUGGUGCUUCAAUGCAGCCCCCCACUGUCCUGCAGUGCCAUGCAGCUCCCCCUCGUGCAAUGUCCUCGUGCAAGGCCCCGAUGCAGCUCUAUCACCACGUCCCUCGUGCAAGGCCGGGCCGUGGUGCAACGCGUCGUCCUCGUGCAAAGCCCACGUGCAAAGCGUCCAUGCACAGCCCCCAGUGCAGGGUCCUGUCGUGCAACGUGGGGCCUCUUCAUGCAAUUCAUCCUCCCGGCCAACAGGGGGCGCCCUCCCCACUUAUAAACCCCCCCAUAACCCCUAUAACACCUAUAACCUCCCUAUAACCCCUUAUAAACCCUAUAACCUCCCUAUAACACCCUAUAAACCCUAUAACCCUCCUAUAACCCCCCCUAUAAGCCCUAUAACCCCUAUAACCCCCCCUAUAACCCUCUAUAACCCCCCAUAACCCCCUAUAACCCCUAUAGCCCCCCCUAUAACCCCUAUAACCCCCCCUAUAGACCCUAUAACCCC